rnacentral:lncRNA from 1 species
AUGUGGUGGAGACCGCUCACCUGCCUAUGGCUGCUCCUGGCACCCACAGGUGCACAGGAGGUAGAAGAAAGAUGUGCAACAAUUGGAAGUAACACCACUCUUCUAUAUGUCUUCAAUAAUACAAUUGAAGACCCAGAUGAAAUAUGGGAAUUAACAAAAAACGGAGCAAAUAUUUGUGAAUGCUGGAAUAAGAAACCACUGCCUGGAAGGAGAGUUGAUAUUUCCUGCGAAAGCGUAGCAACAGGAAAUGUGUCGGUCAAGCUGCCUGUUGUCAACACAUCAGCCCAAGCAAAAUACUGUCUUUACCAGUUUAAAGGGAAUCAUAACAAAUGUCUAAGUUUAGUUGUGAAGAGUAACUGCACUGAAGCCGAUAAAACCCUGUCCACUAUUUCCACUGGUCUGACUAAUUCCACUGAUGAUAUUUCUGUUACUGUUGCUCUGUCAUCGCCGUUAUUAUCCCGUCUGUUUGUCUUGUAGCAGCUUUAGUUUGUUGGAGAUGUCAAAGUCAAAGACAGAAGCAACGCAGCUGGCAAAAUGUACAUGAAGGUACAUGUAUCUGAGGUGAUGACACAUAAAUACGCAGACCUUCAUCAGUAGCCACUUCGUACCAGCCUAAAUCUAAAUUCUCUGGACAGAGGAAUCCUGAAGUUUGCUCAGCGCCGAAGCACAAACUGCUAAAAAUAAUUCCUUUUAUGUUUAGAUUGGAUUAAUGGUAUGGGGAAUAAUGAAUUUUAAAUGAUUGUGGUAUAGAGAAGAUCUUUUUUUUUUUUUUUAAUGCUCCAAUAAUGGCUCAUUCAUGUGAAAGUAUAUGUGUAGUAGGUAGAAGUGACUCUGAACAAGGAGGUCGAAGGAUGACGACUGGUCAGUGUGUGAAAGAAGCACUAACGCCGCCAAAGAAGUGCAGCACACUGAGAUUUAGCAAGGAAACGUUUUUGGAGGUGAACAGUGUGUUUUCUAAAUUUACCGGAUGAUGUAUUUUAAUGUUUUACUCUGUUAGAUUCAGAAUGUUGUUUAGAGAAGUAAUAAUACUGAAUGAAAUGAUUGGCUUACAGUAUUAAUGCUACCAGAACAUUGACAGUAUUUAUAUAUUAGUAUUUUAAUAAUUUUCUUUUUAAUUUUGGACUUAUACAUAUUUGUUGUAUUUAUACCCAGUGUAAAUAAUUAGUUAUAUAUUUUAUAAAACACGUCAGGUAAAUAAAGUUAAAAUAUAUCAUAAUACA